AGUGAUAUAGUUCAUUGGUAGAACACUUCACCUAUGCAAAGAUCUGGGUUCAAUCCCUAGUACCAUGA
rnacentral:tRNA from 1 species